CAGAAGAGAAAUAAAUAAGAAGAAGAGGCGAGCGUGCGCAUAAAGGCUGCCCCCAAACCACUUACAACACAAACAAACAGUCAGUCAACAGUCUCAAUAAAUAAUGGCUUAGCAACCCAACAAGGGACAUGAUCUGCUGCAGAACGAUUACAAGGCUGUAGUCCGCCAUCAUCUUUGUUGUUGUGAGUUCUGAGACUACGCGGGCUUAACAGUCAUUUGAUAGAGGGUCGAGGGGUGGGGCGAUGACGUCAUGGUUUACGGUUUCAGUCGGUUUCAGGCGUCCACACGAAUCCAACACGAAACCGGGUAGAUUUGAAACCACCUCCGAGGGUGGUUUCAGAAGUUUACGGUUUCAGUCAGCGGAUUUGCCGGCUUCGUGUGGACGGAAGGCCGAACCGUACAAGACCUUUGCGGUUUCGCCAUGAAAUCGGCUUUGUGUGGACGGGCCUAAGAGUUUGUCCGGAACAGGCAUGCGAUAUAAUUGUUGCAUGCGCCGUCCUCCACAAUAUAGCCACCCUGCCCAAAGAGAUGCCUCCCCCCUUUGACCCGUUCCUCGAGGAGGAACACAUUCCGCAAAUGCAUGCAAGGGCUGGACAAAGGAUGCAAGACCACAUUUGCAAAAAUCAUUUCAAUAAAAAAGUUAAAAAAACACCAAACACUGUUUUUAUCCAUCAUUUUUAUUCUUUAGUUGCUGAGGGAGGAAAAAAAAAAAAUUAGGCAUUGAAUAACAAUAUCAAGUCUGCGUUGAAUUUCUGCCCAACCUCCUUUUCUACCUCUAUCAGCAGCUUCGUGUACUCCGUUUGCAAAUCAGCCUUAGCGAUUUCCCGCUGAAGAUGAAGACGAUAUAAUUCUUUUGUCGUCAACUGAAAUAGAGGAAAAUAUUGAUUUAACAUUCAAGCGACAUACUUGGCCAAUAUAGUAAGUGAGUAGCCUAGGAUAUGUCUUACAUGCUGAUAUUGCGACCCUGAUGUACCCUGAUGACCCUGCGACCCUGAUGUACCCGCCGCUUCCUCGACCACAGUCUGUUAAGAGACAAGUGAGUUUGAGAACAUUGUAGUUUAGUUUAAUCGUCAAUAAUGACUUGGAACUGGCAAGAAAAAGCUAGGCCUAUACCUCAGUUCUUUCAGACCCAUCCAUGGCAAUAUUAUCAUCGGCCACCUGUCAUACAAAGAGCAAUUAUAGGCCUAUUGGCUGAGUAGUUUGAGAUGCGCUUACAACAGAAAUGAUAAAAAAAAAAAUAGGCCUACCGGACUUACAUAAACUGGAGGAUGUUCAUUCGUAGCCGGCUCGAUUAAAAGCAAUACUCCGGCUUGAUCUGUGAAGUUGAUUAAUUAGUCACGUUUUGGAAUAGAGCCACAUACAGCAGACAUACAACAAACAUGGGGUUUUCUACCCAGCUACAAAAUAACAUUUGGAUCAUUUGCGCUGUGACACGCACACGGCUUGCAUGCGCUCAAAGACAUACAAAAAAUAAAAUACAAAAAACCUACAUUCAACCAGUGGGUUGACAGUGGACGGAGAUGGCCCCGGACUCUCUGAGGAGGUACCUCCAGGUAUCCCCUCCAUGCCAGGGUGCCCUGUAUUAAUGCUCACAGCCAGCUCCUCAACCGGGGUGAAGGUAAUUGGAGGGCCCGAUCCAGUCUGCCGAAUGUCGGCCCUCUUCCGAUUGGCUUUAAAAAAAAAAAUUGGCUAUUUAAAUGCAGGAGGAGUGACAAAUAGGCCUAUGAUAUGACAAUUUGAAUGCCGGACUGACAAAUAUGUAGGACGAUGGUGGGAAAAGUUUACCAGCUUGUAAAACGUUUUUGUAUUUAAUUUUUACUUGUUCCAAAGUUCGUUUGGGGGCCGUCGGAUUACAUCUUUAUAGAUAACAGACGAUGGAAUGUUAAGAAAGCUUCACUGAGAUAGGCAAUGAAUAGAUUCAUAGUUCAAAUAUUUAGGAUAGUGCUUUUACCAUGACACUUACGAAUUUACACGGUCAGCUAUCCUCUGCCAGGCUUUAUUUCUCAUUAUGGCAGAUGCUUUAGUGUUGCAUUUCCUCAUUAUCACUCCCUUUUCCUCAUCGUAACUCUCCAGGAGAACCUGGAGGUCGAGAUCAGUGAAAUAUGCGGCCCGUUUCGCCAUAUUGAUCAGGAUUUCCAUGAUCCAUACAUCACGUCUUUAUAGGUUUGUCGUGAACGCGCACAACCCUGUGUUAACCAACCCCGAGUUGAUUCUACUAAUGCAUAACCGCUGCUGUGGAACCGAAAACUCUGGGUUAGUCGGCACAGGGUAAAUCAACCUAGAGUUCAGCGUUAACUCAGUGUUUGUUAAACCUCCGUUUGUGGAACACCCCACAGCUCUGCAUUACCUGCUGUUUUCAUUCACCCGGCCCGCCACAACCCCAUACUCACCUGCUCCUCAUCAGCUAAUCAGCCCGUCAGUAUAUGUAACGGUCCAUUUCCCUCAGUUCUUUGCCAGAUUGUCUAGUGUGUUACCUAGCUCUCCCGCGUCUUCUCAUUCUGAUCCUGAACCUGCCUGCUCGUGUAUCCACCUGCCUUUUUGGACUUUGGACCUUCCCUUUUGCCUGCUCCUACUGAAUUUGUUUGCUACACGGAUUGACUACCUGGUUUGACCUCUGCUUGGAAUAAACACUGUUUCUUCACCUGAA